rnacentral:rRNA from 1 species
GACGAACGCUGGCGGCGUGCCUAAUACAUGCAAGUAGAACGCUGAAGGAGGAGCUUUCUUCCCUGGAUGAGUUGCGAACGGGUGAGUAACGCGUAUGGAACCUGCCUCUUUGAGGCGGAUAACUAUUGGAAACGAUAGCUAUUAUCGCAUAUUAGCUGUUGUUGCAUGAUAUCUGUCUGAAAGGUACAAUUUUACUGCUACUAAAUGGACCUGCGUUGCAUCAGCUAGUUGGUGGGGUAAGGGCUUACCAAGGCGACGAUACGUAGCCGACCUGAGAGGGGGUUCGGCAACCCGGGACCGGAGACAGGCCCAGGAUUCCUAGGGGAGGAAGCAGAGGGGAACUUCCGGAAUGGAGCGAAAGCCUGACGGGGCAACGCCGCUUGAUGGAAGAGGUUCUUGGAUCCUUAAGAUCUGGUGUAAGGGAAGGAAGAAAUUUGGAAUGGAAUGUUCACGCUGUGACGGUACCUAAUCAGAAAGCGACGGCUAACUACGUG